rnacentral:lncRNA from 1 species
GAGACACUUGGCUUGGCCCGUCUGGCAGGCUGAGGGUCCCACGGAAUCUGUCAGAGUCCAGCCACCUUCCCCCGGAGGCCAGGGAAAUCCUGCCCCAGGCCCAGUGGCCACAGAGACAAGCCUGCAGCCCAGGCAUGGGGCGGUGCCGAAGCUCCUCGGGGCCAUCUCCUGCGCCUACAGGAGCCUUCACAGCCUGCCCACCUGCACCCCACGCCCAGGCCUCCUCUCCCUGAGGCCCGGCUUCUGGCAAGUUCCACACUCAAUCCAGGGACGCGUUGGACAGGUCACACCCUGCCCAGUAGGCAAGCCAGCCUGUGAGGAGGGAGAGCACAGGGAAGCGGCCAUCGCGGCCUCCCAGCACUGCGCCCAGUGCCGCCUGCUCAACACCAGUCUCCCCGGCCACCUCCACUGCUCCCUGUCCGCCGAGGCAUCGCUGCCACCACAGGUGACCAGUCCAGGACAGUUCCUGACCUGAAGCCCACGAGGUUCGUUCUGACAUUUUCAGCUACAAGCCCCUGUGGAGGUGGCGCCCUGAAGCCGUGUGCCCCUCCCACGGUCGCCCGUCCCCCUCUGCCCUCAGAGUGUGCUAGGCGGGGGGCCGGGGGCUUAGAGCAAACCUUUGGUGUCACUGACGGUGCCUGUGAGUGCUGGAACGUGGCUCCCAAAGCUGAGGACUAUCGCUUGGUUGGUUUUAAUGUAACUGGAAGGUCCUCAGCACAGGACCCCUGGUUUGGAGAGUCCACAUGGAACUCUCCAGGAUACCAUGCCAUGUGUCCUGGGGGGACCAGGACGGUCCCAACCUAGUCCCAGUCUCACUUGGUGGCCAGUUCACGAGAGCAGAGCUUCCCACAGUGAGGUUCCUGGAACCAGCAGCGCCAGCCCCGAGUGAGAUGCAGAGUCCCAAGCCUGUCCCACCCUGGGCCUGACACCCGCCCGGGGAGUCUGCCGCAGGCUCCCGCCACAGGAGAGAGGCAGCCUGGGGAAGGCUCCGCUCUGACGUCCAGGAGCUUGGCUCUGGGAGCAGGUUCGGCUCCUUCCCUGAGGACAGAGAGGCUGGUGGCAGGCAGUGCCACCUGGUGGGUGGAAGGCUACUGUCAGCCGGGGAAACCGGCUCCUCUCCCUGCCCGGGGGACCCCCAGGGACCCCCCCCCCCAGUCCACAAAACAAGCAAACGUUAGCACCGGCCUCCAGGCCACUGCGAGGGCAGGACAGUCAAGAGCGGAAGCAGCCCGCUGGCUCCCGGGGCUGCCCGAGGUGUCCCAGUGUGGUGCCAGCUUUUGCUCCUCCACCUGAACAGGGAUGGCAGGGGCACCGUAGGAGGCCUGGUCUACGUGCAUUAGGGACCCCAGGGCGGGGGCUGGGACGAGGUCUGCCAUGUCACCAGGAGCUGGUUUGCAGGGUAGGGGCUGGGGGAGGAUAGGAAGGUAUGGAGGCUGCCCCUGCAGGUUUGGGAGGGCAGGGUUAAGGGGCCUUCAGCUUGGGGCCCUGGGUGGCAGGGAGUCCCCGGGCAGGGAGGGCAGGGAGUCCCCGGGCUGGGAGGCUGUAAGACAGCCACCUGGAGGAGACGGCAGGAAUGAGCCAUGGUUGCCCUGGGUGACGCUCUUUAGAUGCCUCUGGAGGGGCCGCUGAGGACUUGCUCUCCAGAGUCUCAGAGGACAAGAGGGGACCGCUGAGCUGGAGGGCUGUGGCACCCCUGGGAGCCCUGACAGGUUCUCUCCUGGGCCCAAGGGGUCAGCAGCCGCCCAGGCUGGGGCCCAGCUGGAUCCCAGCUCAGCAGCAGUGACCAGCAGAGGCCCAGGACAGCAGGGUAGCUGUUGUGUGUUGGCCUUUGUUUUUUCUAGAAAAAAUCACAGAGUUUGGAGCCUCCUCAGUACCCACCAUGGGUGGUGGUGUGGGGCACUUUACCAGAGCAAAGAGCAAGACGGCCAGGACCAAGGAUGUGCCCAGGACUCCGAAGCCAACCAGAGACCCCACGGCCCAAAGAACUUGAGCUUCCACAGGGCAACAGGGGCCGGGACGGAGGCCCAUCUUGGAGUGCAGAGGAGUUUUUAAAAAAUGAGUUAUUUGCCUCAGAGGCU